rnacentral:rRNA from 1 species
UGAGGAAUAUUGCGCAAUGGUCGAAAGGCUGACGCAGCGACGCCGCGUGGAGGAUGAAAUCCGUUAGGAUGUAAACUCCUUUUGCCGGGGAUGAAUCUCCCGUUUCACGGGACUGACUGUACCCGGCGAAUAAGGAUCGGCCAACUACGUGCCAGCAGCCGCGGUAAUACGUAGGAUCCGAGCGUUGUCCGGAAUUACUGGGUGUAAAGGGCGUGUAGGUGGGUCUCUAAGUCGGUGGUGAAAUCCCGCAGCUUAACUGCGGAACUGCCUCCGAUACUGGAGAUCUUGAGUGCGGCAGAGGGAGAUGGAAUUCAUGGUGUAGCGGUGAAAUGUGUAGAUAUCAUGAAGAACACCAGUAGCGAAGGCGGUCUCCUGGUCCGUAACUGACACUGAGGCGCGAAAGCGUGGGGAGCAAACAGGAUUAGAUACCCUGGUAGUCCACGCCUUAAACGAUGGAUACUCGGUGCUGGCCCGCGAGGGUCAGUGCCUAAGCUAACGCAUUAAGUAUCCCACCUGGGGAGUACGAUCGCAAGGUUG